GAUGAACGCUGGCGGCGUGCCUAACACAUGCAAGUCGAGCGAGAAUUGAUGGAAUGAGGACUUCGGUCCAAGUGAAGUUGAGGAAAGCGGCGGACGGGUGAGUAACGCGUGGGUAACCUGCCCCAUACAAUGGGAUAGCCACUGGAAACGGUGAUUAAUACCAUAUGAUGCUUUAUAAUCGCAUGAUUUAAAAGCUAAAGAUUUAUCGGUAUGGGAUGGACCCGCGUCUGAUUAGCUAGUUGGUGAGGUAACGGCUCACCAAGGCGACGAUCAGUAGCCGACCUGAGAGGGUGAUCGGCCACACUGGAACUGAGACACGGUCCAGACUCCUACGGGAGGCAGCAGUGGGGAAUAUUGCACAAUGGGCGCAAGCCUGAUGCAGCAACGCCGUGUGAGUGAUGAAGGCCUUCGGGUCGUAAAACUCUGUC
rnacentral:rRNA from 1 species